UAUAUCGGUCAAAUAUACAUAGACAUGAUAACAAUAGGUUUAAUUCAGGCUAUUUUGUUAUUUCCAUGAAAGGGGAAUGAGUCACUGGGUCUAAUGAAGCCUGGCCGCUGAGACAGCAGGGAUUAGUUAUGAUGACUGGAUGAAUGAGCAGUUCACGUUCACAUGCCCACUGCUCUCGCGUUCAUCAACACUUCCUACGCGGUAUUUCAUUAUCCUCCGGGCAUCGUGAACACUCCCGAUCCACAUCCUUUGGAGACACUAACCCGCCGCCUGUAAACGCGUGUUAACGAGGGUUCAUUGCACAACACUGCAGACACAAACGCUUCCAGUUCCUCUUGUGACCGCGGGUUUCGGACCAUCUGUCCGCACCGACGCUGCAGCCUGACGGUCGACCACCACUCAGCGAGGGGAUCCCGGAACUUCACCGACACGUUCCUUAGCAGAGAUCUGGACCCCGCGGAGGUCUUCAGACCCUCCAGAACACGGUAUGUUCACCCUGACCGAGGUGGCCUCCCUGAACGACAUCCAGCCUACAUAUAAGAUCCUGAAGCCAUGGUGGGACGUGUUCAUGGACUACCUGGGUGUGGUCAUGCUAAUGCUGGCCAUCUUUGCGGGGACCAUGCAGCUGACCAAAGACCAGGUGGUCUGCCUGCCCAUCCUGGAGGAGGCGCCGGAGGCCCCCGGUGGCGGCGGACAUUUUGACGUCCACUCCGCCCCUCUGGACGCAGCCGCCGCGCUAUUGGCCGACGGCCGACCGGCGGACGUCUUCCGGAAGUACGUCUUCGGCGAGCCGGUGGAGGUGGGCUUCCCCGAGCCCACGGGCGUGCGGACGGCGCUGGACUUCCAGCAGUACGUCUUCGUGAACCAGAUGUGCUACCACGUGGCGCUGCCCUGGUACUCCAAGUACUUCCCCUACCUGGCGCUCAUCCACACCAUCGUGCUCAUGGUCAGCAGCAACUUCUGGUUCAAGUACCCCAAGACCAGCUCCAAGAUCGAGCACUUUGUCUCCAUCCUGGGCAAGUGCUUCGAGUCGCCGUGGACGACCAAGGCGCUGUCGGAGACGGCGUGCGAGCACUCGGAGGAGAACAAGCAGCGGCUGGUCGGGCCCUCCUCGCUGCCCAAACACUUCUCCACCAGCAGCGAGGAGGGCAGCCCCAACCAGUCCGUCCCCGCCACGCUGGUCAAGUCUAGCGUCCAGUUCUCCGUGGAGAAGCUGGUGAUCGAGGUGCCCGCGAUGACAAUCCUGGACAAGAAGGACGGGGAGCAAGCCAAGGCGCUGUUCGAGAAGGUCCGGAAGUUCCGGGCUCACGUGGAGGACAGCGACCUGAUCUACAAGCUCUACGUCGCGCAGACGGUCAUCAAGACGGUCAAGUUCAUCCUCAUCCUAUGCUACACCAUGACCUUUGUCGCCGCCAUCAAUUUCGCCCACGUGUGCGAGCCGGAGAUUAAACACUUAACCGGCUACUCGAAGUUCCAGUGUACGCACAACAUGGCGUUCAUGUUGAAGAAGCUGCUGGUCAGCUACAUCGCCCUCAUCUGCGUGUACGGCAUGGUCUGCAUCUACACGCUGUUCUGGCUAUUCCGCCGGCCCCUGAAGGAGUACUCCUUCGAGAAGGUGCGGGAAGAGAGCAGCUUCAGCGACAUACCGGACGUCAAGAACGACUUUGCGUUCCUCCUGCACAUGGUGGACCAGUACGACCAGCUGUACUCGAAGCGCUUCGGCGUCUUCCUGUCCGAGGUCAGCGAGAACAAGCUCCGUGAGAUCAGCCUGAACCACGAGUGGACCUUCGAGAAGCUGCGGCAGCACGUCACGCGGAACGCUGCGGAGAAGCUGGAGCUGCACCUCUUCAUGCUGUCCGGGGUCCCGGACGCCGUGUUUGACCUCACCGACCUGGAGAUCCUCCGGCUGGAGCUCAUCCCCGAGGCCAGGAUAACGGCCAAGAUCUCGCAGAUGACCAACCUCCACGAGCUACACCUCUACCACUGCCCCGCCAAGGUGGAGCAGACCGCCUUCGUGUUCCUCCGAGACCACCUCCGCUGCCUCCACGUCAAGUUCACGGAUGUGGCCGAGAUCCCCACCUGGGUGUACCUGUUGAAGAGUCUGAGGGAGAUGUAUCUGGUGGGCAACCUGAACUCGGAGAACAACAAGAUGAUCGGGCUGGAGUCCCUGCGAGACCUCCGCCACCUGAAGACCCUGCACCUCAAGAGCAACCUGACCAAGAUCCCCACCAACAUCACGGACCUGUCGCCCCACCUCGUCAAGCUGGUGGUGGACAACGACGGGACCAAGCUCCUGGUGCUCAACAGCCUCAAGAAGAUGAUGAACCUGGCCGAGCUGGAGCUCCACAACUGCGAGCUGGAGCGGAUCCCUCACGCCAUCUUCAGUCUGACCAACCUGCAGGAGCUGCACCUGAAGUCCAACAACAUCCGGAGCAUCGAGGAGGUCAUCAGCUUCCAGCACCUCAAGAGGCUCACCUGCCUCAAGCUCUCCCACAACAAGAUCAUCAGCAUCCCGCUGUCCAUCAGCCACGUGAAGAACCUGGAGUCGCUCUACCUCUCGCACAACAAGCUGGAGUCCCUGCCCUCGUCGCUCUUCAACCUGCCCAAGCUGCGCUAUCUGGACGUGGGCCACAACUCCAUCGUGGUCAUCCCGCUGGAGGUGGGCUUCCUGCAGAGCCUCCAGUACUUCGCCAUCUCCGGCAACAAGGUUGAGGUGGUGCCCAAGCAGCUCUUCAAGUGCACCAAACUGAGGACCCUGAACCUCGGCCACAACUGCAUCUCCACCGUCCCCGAGAAGAUCGGCCAGCUGGCGCAGCUGACGCAGCUGGAGCUGAAGGGGAACUGCCUGGACCGCCUGCCCCUCCAGCUGGGGCAGUGUGUGCUGCUCCGCCGGAGCGGCCUGGUGGUGGAGGACCACCUCUUCGACUCGCUGCCCCUGGAGGUCAAGGAGAGCAUCAACCAGGAGUCGGGCGUCCCGUUUGCCAACGGGGUUUGAGGAGCGACCAGGCAGCUUCUGAGUUUAGGAUUUUUGGGGGGAACGAAGAGUGUUAUUGAAGAGUAAGCAAACAAAUGAUACCGAACUUUAGAUACAGCCCCGCUGAUUGGCUCACAAGAGUUCAGAGGAAUGAGUUCCCGGUGAGAUAUGGCUUGGCUCAGGUUGGAUAAGGGUGGCCAUCACUGUAUUCAGUGGACCACUGUACUCAUAUGCCCUGUAUAUACCUGUUCCUGCUUCUGUUGUUUCUUCGACAGUUUUCAUUGUUUUUUUCUUGGGAUUUGUUCCCUUUGUGUUUUGUCAGAUCACUUUGUUAAAGAUAGAUACUUGAAUUGUUUUUUAGUUUUUUUUACCACCCUUAUUUUAUGAUUUGUUUUUGAUACCAUUAGACACUGCAUAGCCCUACCGCCACAAUAAUAUUUGCUUCUUAUUUUAUUAAUGCUGUUUUGUCUUCUAGUGGUUUUCAUAGGCACUGUUUUUAGGGGUACGCCAGCUUGUCAAAGUGUAGGUGUGAGCUACAGUUUGAGCUAGUUUGAGGUACAGUGUAACAAUUAGUUAGGUACAGUGUGAGCUACAGUGAGAUACAGUUCUGACCUACAGUUUGCUACAGCGAGGUACAGUGAGGUACAGUAAGAUACAGUGUGAGCUUCAUGUUGAGCUACAGUGAGUACAGGUUGAGCUACAGUGAGGUACAGUGAGGUACAGGUUGAGCUACAGUGAGGUACAGGUUGAGCUACAGUGAGGUACAGGUUGAGCUACAGUGAGGUACAGGUUGAGCUACAGUGAGGUACAGGUUGAGCUACAGUGAGUACAGGUUGAGCUACAGUGAGGUACAGGUUGAGCUACAGUGAGGUACAGGUUGAGCUGCAGUGUGAGAUAGAGGGUGAGUGACUGCCCCAGCCGACCUCCGGACACUGGUCAGACCGCACCCCCCAGCUCCAGCGCCCGGCUCCACUUCCUCAGCUCGACGCCUGGUACCGCCAAACGUGAGAUCGAGCAAAGGUUGCACGACAAAGUCAAACCUCUUCUCUUUUAGCACCGCGGCGGUGGAGCGAGCUCCCUGCCGACGUCAGGACCGCAGAGUCGCUGAGCAGCUCCCACAGGAGACUGAAGACUCGCGUGUUCAGAGCUCCCCAGGAUGCUGCGUUCCCUCCCGCCUUACCCAACCCAUCGCCCCGUCGCCUCACUUACUGCCCGAAAUACACCUCUUUUACACACCUAUGGUACGUUUGUGUGUCCUGGCACUUUAUGUACGCACUAAUUGUAUGUUAUACAUCCUGGCACUUAAAAAUAGAACUUGGCAUCGUGUAGCAUCUAAUCCUACCUAUCUUUGUUGAAUACGGGGAAUGGAUUAAUUUAGCAAUUUUAAGUCCUUGGCACUUGUUCUAUGAACAUCCUUAUUGUACCGACAGCGAUAUAUAUAGUUGUUUCCCUUUCUUCAGACAAAUGUACUCAUUGUAAGUGGCUUUGGAUAAAAGCGUCUGCUAUGCCCUUAAUGUCAAUGUAAAUGUAUUUAGUCCUCACCUCUUUAAAUCUAGAAAUCCAAGAGAAAACUUGAGACUUUGUUGAAAUCAUUUUUUGCACAAACACCAUUUUGAACGAUUAUAAACAUUUGCAGCAAAACCAACAA